UCAUUAUUUUUCUGCAGAGAUGGCACAAAAAUAAAAACCACAGCAUCUUUUAAAGGUGACUGGGAAAGAAGAACUAGCAUUGCCAGAAAUUGCAGCACAACCAUUGUGCUAAUCUAAUACUUAAGAGGCUUCAUGAUGGAAGAAUACAGUAUACCUGGUGAUCUCAACCCAAGUGUGCUCACCUGUUGUCGAUAAACAUAGCAUGCUGCUAUGGCAACCAUUGUCGACUCUCCUAUGAAGCCGGCCAGGAGGGAACCAACCCCGAGUGUGGCCCCGUGAACCCUGAAAUACAAAGGAUUAUUUUAGAAGUGUGGAAGUAAAUCAUUCUCCUGUUUGAUCUUGUCAGGGGAAAAAAGAAAGAAGAACAUUUUACCAGAAUAACGCACAAUACCAUAUGAAAUAACACAGUAAGCCUGAGUCACAGUGCUGACCUUUGUGACCCUGACGUUCUCUGAAGUGUUGACUUACCCCAUAUAAGGCAGCACAACUAGACUGGUGAUGAGGACAAUGAUGCGGAGAACCGAGCUGGGGGCCAGCACAAAGGUCUUUUUCAGGGUCAUGAGCCAUCCAGUCAAAUGAGCCCGAACCGUCA